rnacentral:ncRNA from 1 species
CAUUUUCGAUCCGUCCAUGGUCCCCGCGAGGGGAUAAUAGGGAAGCCGGUCCGGGAUCCAUCCCAAGUCCGGCGCUGCCCCCGCAACUGUCGGCGGAGACGGCGCUUCAUUGUCCACUGGCCGUCGGCUGGGAAGGCGAAGCGCCGGUUUGAUCCGCAAGCCAGGAGACCUGCCACGGACUGAAAAUCCAU